rnacentral:rRNA from 1 species
UAGGGAAUCUUCCACAAUGGACGCAAGUCUGAUGGAGCAACGCCGCGUGAGUGAAGAAGGUCUUCGGAUCGUAAAACUCUGUUGUUAGAGAAGAACACGAGUGAGAGUAACUGUUCAUUCGAUGACGGUAUCUAACCAGAAAGUCACGGCUAACUACGUGCCAG